CCGGAAGUCUGAUGCAGCGACGCCGCGUGGGGGAUGAAGGCUUUCGGGUUGUAAACCUCUUUUAUUCCUGAACAAGGCUUGGAUUGUUGUCUGGGUUGAGGGUAGGGGGUGAAUAAGCGCCGGCUAACUACGUGCCAGCAGCCGCGGUAAUACGUAGGGCGCGAGCGUUGUCCGGAUUUAUUGGGCGUAAAGCGCACGUAGGCGGACUUUUAAGUCAGGGGUGAAAUCCCGGGGCUCAACCCCGGAACUGCCUUUGAUACUGGAAGUCUUGAGUAUGGUAGAGGUGAGUGGAAUUCCGAGUGUAGAGGUGAAAUUCGUAGAUAUUCGGAGGAACACCAGUGGCGAAGGCGGCUCACUGGACCAUUACUGACGCUGAGGUGCGAAAGCGUGGGGAGCAAACA
rnacentral:rRNA from 1 species